UUCAGAACGUCGUGAGACAGUUCGGUCUCUAUCUGUUGUGGGCGUAUGAUGAUUGAGAAGGUCUGACCUUAGUACGAGAGGACCGGGUUGGACGAACCUCUGGUUUACCGGUUGUGGCGCCAGCUGCACCGCCGGGUAUCCACGUUCGGUUAGGAUAAGCGCUGAAAGCAUCUAAGCGCGAAGCCAUCUUCAAGAUGAGACAUCUUUUGAGGGUCGUGGGAGACUACCACGUUGAUAGGCCGCAGGUCUAAAGGCAGUAAUGUCAUAGCCGAGCGGUACUAAUAGCCCGACAUCUUCCUCUG
rnacentral:rRNA from 1 species